CGCUGCCUAUAAGCCAAAAGAAGAGAUCUCUGAAUGAAAUCUACCUUACUAUCUUCUUGACCUUGGACUUCCAGCUUCUAGAAUGCAAUUAAUGCAUGUGA